CCGUUCUCAACGGGGUGCCCGAUUUGUUAAAGCAGCGAUGUAAACGCCGCGAGCAAGUGUUCAGCCGGUGAAGGCCAGCGCACAGAAAGCGGAGCGUACACAAAGUACGUGAGCAUUUCGAGCACUGCCCGACGCCGGAUCAACACCUGCGCAGCAAGUUUGGCUGAGAUUUAGACUCGUCGAACCUGAUCCGGUUGAUACCGGCGGAGGGAUUUGAGACUGCGCGAUGC
rnacentral:ncRNA from 1 species